rnacentral:rRNA from 1 species
ACGGGUGCGUAACGCGUAUGCAAUCUACCUUUUACAGAGGGAUAGCCCAGAGAAAUUUGGAUUAAUACCUCAUAGUAUAUAGACCUGGCAUCAGGAUUAUAUUAAAGUCACAACGGUAAAAGAUGAGCAUGCGUCCCAUUAGCUAGUUGGUAAGGUAACGGCUUACCAAGGCUACGAUGGGUAGGGGUCCUGAGAGGGAGAUCCCCCACACUGGUACUGAGACACGGACCAGACUCCUACGGGAGGCAGCAGUGAGGAAUAUUGGACAACGGGCGCAAGCCUGAUCCAGCCAUGCCGCGUGCAGGAUGACGGUCCUAUGGAUUGUAAACUGCUUUUAUACGAGAAGAAACACUACUUCGUGAAGUAGCUUGACGGUAUCGUAAGAAUAAGGAUCGGCUAACUCCGUGCCAGCAGCCGCGGUAAUACGGAGGAUCCAAGCGUUAUCCGGAAUCAUUGGGUUUAAAGGGUCCGUAGGCGGUUUAGUAAGUCAGUGGUGAAAGCCCAUCGCUCAACGGUGGAACGGCCAUUGAUACUGCUAAACUUGAAUUAUUAGGAAGUAACUAGAAUAUGUAGUGUAGCGGUGAAAUGC